rnacentral:rRNA from 1 species
GGGUGCGAUCAUACCAUCGUUAAUGCACCGGAUCCCAUCAGAAAUCCACAGUUAAGCGCGUUUGGGCUAGAGCGGUAAUGGGAUGGGUGAUCUGCUAGGAAGUCCUAGCGUUGCACCCU